CCAGACUGCCCAGUCCCUCCUGAAGGGCUCUAGGGAGAACCCUUCCUGCCUUGUCCUUCCUCCCUCAGCAAUCUUUUCCUCUUGUAUCCAUUAGCAAUGUUCUUAGCUGCGCUGUGCAGAACAACCAGAAUCUCAUCCAGUGAGUGAAGGAGGAGAAUCGGUGGCGAGCUUUCCUCUCCUGGAGCCCCGAGCUGGAUUAUAAGCUAUUUGAGAAGAGGGAUCUUCUCUUACACCACCUUCGAUUGUCAGUGACUCAAAUUACUCUGCUGGCCUCCAGGACAUUGAUUAAUGUGAAAAUGCUGGACAUCAUGGGGUGGACGAGGAGGCAACACGCCUUUCCCUGGGCUCCAUGGCAGACACACGCCUAUGUCUGCCAUAAGCAACAGAUGAAAACAAGGUGCUUGUAGACACGGAGGCUUGUUAAAGCGGGGCUGGAAAAUGCUGUGCAAGCAGAGUAUAAGUUUUCAAACU